rnacentral:rRNA from 1 species
AACGAACGCUGGCGGCAGGCUUAACACAUGCAAGUCGAACGGGCACUUCGGUGUCAGUGGCAGACGGGUGAGUAACACGUGGGAACAUACCCUUUGGUCUGGAACAACUCGGGGAAACCCGAGCUAAUACCGGAUGAGCGCGAGAGCGGAAAGAUUGAUCGCCGAAGGAUUGGCCCGCGUCCGAUUAGCUAGUUGGUGGGGUAACGGCUCACCAAGGCGACGAUCGGUAGCUGGUCUGAGAGGAUGGCCAGCCACAUUGGGACUGAGACACGGCCCAAACUCCUACGGGAGGCAGCAGUGGGGAAUAUUGGACAAUGGGCGCAAGCCUGAUCCAGCCAUGCCGCGUGAGUGAUGACGGCCUUAGGGUUGUAAAGCUCUUUCGCCCGCGACGAUAAUGACGGUAGCGGGAGAAGAAGCCCCGGCUAACUUCGUGCCAGCCGCCGCCGUAACAC